UACGGAGGGUGCGAGCGUUGUCCGGAAUCACUGGGCGUAAAGGGCGCGUAGGUGGCGCGGGCAGUCAACGGUGAAAGUUCGGGGCUCAACCCUGAAUCGGCCGUCGAUACUCCCGGGCUUGAGCACUGUAGAGGCAGAUGGAGUUCCGGGUGUAGCGGUGGAAUGCGUAGAGAUCCGGAAGAACACCGGUGGCGAAGGCGGUCUGCUGGGCAGUAGCUGACACUGAGGCGCGACAGCGUGGGGAGCAAACAGG
rnacentral:rRNA from 1 species